AAAAAUAUUCCAGGGAGCAAAGAGUUGUAUACAGUGAUUGUUUUUUUCUGGGGUGGGAGAGGUUCAAUUCUCCUUUCUGAGAGUGAAGACUCUAUAUUUGCUGGGUCCUUCAGAAACAACUAUUUUCUUCAUCUACCUAGAAUUGGGACAAUUUCUUCAGUUCUCACGGUUUUGUUGUCUCUGUCUGUCUCACUCUCCCCUCACUCUCUUUCUUCUCCUCUUCUCUCCUCUUCUCUUCUCUUCUCUUCUCUUCUCUUCUCUUCUCUUCUCUUCUCUUCUCUUCUCUUCUCUUCUCUUCUCUUCUCUUCUCUUCUCUUCUCUUCUCUUCUCUUCUCUUCUCUUCUCUUCUCUUCUCUCCUCUUCUCUCCUCUCCUCUCCUCUCCUCUCCUCUCCUCUCCUCUCCUCUCCUCUCUCUCCUCUCCUCUCCUCUCCUCUCCUCUUCUCUUCUCUCUCUCCCUCCCUCCAUCUCCACCUCUGUCUCUCCCUCUCUCCUUCCCCUCUCCUUCUCCUUCUUCUUCUUCUUCUUCUUCUUCUUCUUCUUCUCCUUCUUCUCCUUCUUCUUCUUCUUCUUCUCCUUCUUCUUCUUCUUCUUCUUCUUCUUCUUCUUCUUCUUCUUCUUCUUCUUCUUCUUCUUCUUCUCCUCUCUUUCCCUCUCUCUCCCUCUUUUCCCCUCCCUCUACUUUCUCCUCUCUCUAUCUCUUUCUUCUCCUUUUCUCUUUCUCCUCUCUCCCUCUAUCCUCUCCUCUCUUACUUUCUUCUUUCUCCUCUCUCCUCUUCUUUCUCUUCUUUUCUUUCUUUUACUCCUCGCUCCUUUCUUUUCUCCUCUUUUCUCUCUCCUUUCUUUUUCUCUUCUCUUUCUUUCUUUCACUUUCUCUCUCUCCCCUUCUACUUUCUCCUCUCUCUAUCUCUCUCCUCUACUUUUUUCUCUUCUCUCCCUUUCUCCUUUCUCCUCCUCUUACUUUCUCCUUUCUUCUCUCUCCCUCUGUUUUCUCUUCCUUUCCUUUCUUUUUCUCUCUUCUCUUUCUCUCCUUUCUCUUCUCCUCUCUUUCUCCUUUCUUUUUCUCUCCUCUCUUUUCUCUUUCUUCCUCUCUCUCUCUCUCUCUUUCUCUCUCUCCCCCUCCCUCCCUUUACUUUCUCUUCUCUCUAUUUCUCUCCUCUCCUUUUUAUCUUUUCUCCUCUCCUAUUCUCUCCCCUCUUACUUUCUCCUUUCUCCUCUCUCCUUCUGUUCUUUCUCUCCUUUCUUUUUUUCUCCUCUCCUCUUUCUCUUUUCUUUUCUCCUCUUUCUCCUUUUUCUUUCCUCUUUCUUUUCUCUCUCUCUCUCUCUCUCUCUCUCUCUCGCUCACUCUCCUUCUGCUUUCUCCUCUCUCUAUAGCUCUCCUCUCCUCUUUUUUCUCCUCUCUCUCCCUCUCUCCUUUCUCCUCCUCUUGUUUUCUCCUUUCUUCUCCCUCCCUCUGUUCUCUUUCUCUCUCCCUUCCUUUCUCUCUCUUCUGUUUCUCUCCUUUCUCUUCUUCUCUCUUUCUCUCUCAUUUCUUUUUCUCUCCUCUCUCUUUUCUCUUUCUUCCUCUCUCUCUCUCUCUCUCCUUCUCUUUCUCUUUCUCCUCCCUCCCUCCCUUUACUUUCCCCCUCUCUAUUUCUCUCCUCUCCUUUCUCUCUUUUCUCCUCUCUCCUCUCUUACUUUCUCCUUUAUCCUCUCUCUCCACUCUCUCUCUCAUCUUUCUCCUUUCUCCUCUCUCCUUUUUCUUUUUCUCCUCUCCUCUUUCCUUUUCUCCUCUUUCUCCUUUUUCUCUUCUCUCUCUUUUCUCUUUCUUUCACUUUCUCUCUCUCUCCUACUUUCUCCUCUCUCUAUCUCUCUCCUCUCCUCUUUUCUCCUCUCUUCCUCUCCUUUCUCCUCCUCUUACUUUCUCUUUUCUUCUCCCUCCCUCUGUUUUCUUUCUCUCUCUUUUCUUUUUCUCUUUUCUCUUUCCCCCACUUUUCCUCUCUCUCUCUUCUCUUUGUUUCUCUUUCCUCUCCCUCUCUCCCUCAAUAUAA
ensembl:lncRNA